UAAGUAACGAUAAAGCGGGUGAAAAGCCCGCUCGCCGGAAGACCAAGGGUUCCUGUCCAACGUUAAUCGGGGCAGGGUGAGUCGACCCCUAAGGCGAGGCCGAAAGGCGUAGUCGAUGGGAAACAGGUUAAUAUUCCUGUACUUGGUGUUACUGCGAAGGGGGGACGGAGAAGGCUAUGUUGGCCGGGCGACGGUUGUCCCGGUUUAAGCGUGUAGGCUGGUUUUCCAGGCAAAUCCGGAAAAUCAAGGCUGAGGCGUGAUGACGAGGCACUACGGUGCUGAAGCAACAAAUGCCCUGCUUCCAGGAAAAG
rnacentral:rRNA from 1 species